CUUAACUCCUCCUCAUUUGCAGCAGAUGACUUCACCUCCUACUUCCCGAAGAAAAUAGAAGGCAUCAGAUGGGAACUCCCUCAGCUUCCUGCUAGCAAAUCCAUACAGUUCCAUCUGGACUCAUGUUCUUCUCUUUUCCUCCUAUUUUAGUCUAGGGAGUAUCCUUCUCAUUUAAGCCCAAUCCCUCCACCUGUGCUUUGGAAACUGUCUGCUCAUGCCUUCUCACUUCAUUAUCAACCUUACACUAUCAGUUUCUUCUCCCUCCCUGCCCCCAUUUCUAUUUAUUCGACAUACCCUUCUCAACUGGAUUAUUUCCAAUUACAUUUAAAUCUUCUCAUGCCUCUUCCAUCUUAAAAAACAACCUUCCUUGUCUCCCAAUUUCUAUGUUUCUAUCUUUCAACUCCUUUCUAUCUUUCCCAUUUCUUUCAAUCUAAAUUUUCUAAAGAUGUCUCAUUGUUUGCUUUGCAUCUUUUCCUUUUGGACGGAAUCCUUUCUGCACUGUUAGUCCUUCCAUGUGAUUUGAGUGAGACUGACCCUGCCUACCAACCCAGGGGUGGCCAACCAGAGUACUCUAUUUCCUGGCUACAAUGAUUGACUUAGUGAGGAGUCUGUGAUCCCAGAAGGU
rnacentral:lncRNA from 1 species